rnacentral:tRNA from 2 species
CAGUUGACUUUUAAUCAAUUGGUCGCAGGUUCGAAUCCUGCACGACCCACCA